UUGCAUUUUAAUUCGUUAUAAUAACAAUAUAGCUCAACAGCAUGAUUGCAAAGUUGCUAAUAUAUAAGCACUGUUUCUGGUUUAUUUUGUAAAUGUUUACAUAUCUCAAUGAAUACAUGAAUACAUGAAUACAUCUCUCAAUUCUGUUUAUUUACAACCAAAUACAAGACUACUAGCGACAUAUAAUGAAAACAAUUAUUUUCUCGCUCUGAUAACUGCAGGUUGACCAACAUAAUGUUGCAUAUUUAAAAUAGCACCACCAAUUUUCAGCAACGAUUUUUAGGCGAGGAGAUUUAAACCAAUCAGAUAGUCCAAAUAUAUAACCAAUUACGUUGCUUUUCCAUUCGUUUCGCGCGAAAUUGUGUUCGCACUGCUUGUUCCCAGUUGACAGUUGUUGUAACAAGUUUUGAACAAGCUGUUACUACAACUUGUAACAAGCUUGAUGGCAUUAUCAGACUUGUUACAAGGUUGUUCUAACAAGUCUGAUACAGUCAUGAUAUAACAAGAAUGUUACAAGGUUGAGGACACAAGGUUGUAACAAUAUUGUUAUAUCAUGACUGUUCGGUCUGGAACAAUCUUGCAACAAGUCUGAUAAUAUCAACAAGGCUGUUACAAGUUGUUAACAGCUUGUUCCAAAAUCAUUUAAAAAACUAUUGACCUUUUUGUUUGCUAACCAUGAUUUAUAACUCUGACUUCAAUCAGUUUUUAUCAAUUUUACAAAAUGUGCUGAGAUACAUUUCCAAUAUCGUUCGCUUCCUUCAAAUUUGUUGAAAGUCUUUAACGUAUAUAAAUUUAACCCCAUAUUUCUAAUUCUACAAUCAUACUUCUAACGGAUUAUACUGUAUCUAAUUGGUGCUACUUUAAUAAGUGAUUAUAAAUAUGC
rnacentral:lncRNA from 1 species